rnacentral:rRNA from 1 species
AUUGAGCGCUGGCGGCAGGCUUAACACAUGCAAGUCGAACGGGGGAAGGUAGCUUGCUACUGGACCUAGCGGCGGACGGGUGAGUAAUGCUUAGGAAUCUGCCUAUUAGUGGGGGACAACUUCUCGAAAGGGAUGCUAAUACCGCAUACGUCCUACGGGAGAAAGCAGGGGAUCUUCGGACCUUGCGCUAAUAGAUGAGCCUAAGUCGGAUUAGCUAGUUGGUGGGGUAAAGGCCUACCAAGGCGACGAUCUGUAGCGGGUCUGAGAGGAUGGUCCGCCACACUGGGACUGAGACACGGCCCAGACUCCUACGGGAGGCAGAAGUGGGGAAUAUUGGACAAUGGGGGGAACCCUGAUCCAGCCAUGCCGCGUGUGUGAAGAAGGCCUUCGGGUUGUAAAGCACUUUCAGCGAGGAGGAAGGGGUGUGUGUUAAUAGUACACACCUUUGACGUUACUCGCAGAAGAAGCACCGGCUAACUCUAUGCCAGCCGCCGCGGUAA